rnacentral:rRNA from 1 species
GAUGAACGCUAGCGGCAGGCUUAACACAUGCAAGUCGAGGGGUAUAGUUCUUCGGAACUAGAGACCGGCGCACGGGUGCGUAACGCGUAUGCAAUCUACCUUUCACAAAGGGAUAGCCCCAGAGAAAUUUGGAUUAAUACCUUAUAGUAAUACGACUUGGCAUCAAGAUGUAUUUAAAGAUUUAUCGGUGAAAGAUGAGCAUGCGUCCAUUAGCUUGUUGGUAAGGUAACGGCUUACCAAGGCAACGAUGGGUAGGGGUCCUGAGAGGGAGAUCCCCCCACACUGGUACUGAGACACGGACCAGACUCCUACGGGAGGCAGCAGUGAGGAAUAUUGGACAAUGGGCGCAAGCCUGAUCCAGCCAUGCCGCGUGCAGGAUGACGGUCCUAUGGAUUGUAAACUGCUUUUGUAC